CCUAGUAACGGCGAGUGAAGCGGCAUCAGCUCAAAUUUGAAAUCUGGCUCUUUCAGGGUCCGAGUUGUAAUUUGCAGAGGGCGCUUUGGCGUUGGCAGCGGUCCAAGUUCCUUGGAACAGGACGUCACAGAGGGUGAGAAUCCCGUACGUGGUCGCUGGCCUUCACCGUGUAAAGCCCCUUCGACGAGUCGAGUUGUUUGGGAAUGCAGCUCUAAAUGGGAGGUAAAUUUCUUCUAAAGCUAAAUACUGGCCAGAGACCGAUAGCGCACAAGUAGAGUGAUCGAAAGAUGAAAAGCACUUUGGAAAGAGAGUCAAAUAGCACGUGAAAUUGUUGAAAGGGAAGCGCUUGCAGCCAGACUUGCCUGUAGUUGCUCAUCCGGGUUCUUACCCGGUGCAUUCUUCUGUAGGCAGGCCAGCAUCAGUUUGGGCGGUUGGAUAAAGGUCUCUGUCACGUACCUCCUCUCGGGGGAGGCCUUAUAGGGGAGACGACAUGCAACCAGCCUGGACUGAGGUCCGCGCAUCUGCUAGGAUGCUGGCGUAAUGGCUGUAAGCGGCCCGUCUUGAAACACGGACCAAGGAGUCUAACAUCUAUGCGAGUGUUUGGGUGUCAAGCCCGAGCGCGUAAUGAAAGUGAACGGAGGUGGGAUCCCUUAAGGGUGCACCAUCGACCGAUCCUGAUGUCUUCGGAUGGAUUUGAGUAAGAGCAUGGCUGUUGGGACCCGAAAGAUGGUGAACUAUGCUUGAAUAGGGUGAAGCCAGAGGAA
rnacentral:rRNA from 1 species